rnacentral:rRNA from 1 species
GACGAACGCUGGCGGCGUGCUUAACACAUGCAAGUCGAACGAUGAAGCUGGAGCUUGCUCCGGUGGAUUAGUGGCGAACGGGUGAGUAACACGUGAGUAAUCUGCCCUUGACUCUGGGAUAACUGCGGGAAACUGUAGCUAAUACCGGAUACGACACCUUCGGGCAUCCGAUGGGUGUGGAAAGAAUUUCGGUCAAGGAUGAACUCGCGGCCUAUCAGCUAGUUGGUGAGGUAAUGGCUCACCAAGGCGACGACGGGUGGCCGGCCUGAGAGGGUGAACGGCCACACUGGGACUGAGACACGGCCCAGACUCCUGCGGGAGGCAGCAGUGGGGAAUAUUGAACAAUGGGCGAAAGCCUGAUGCCGCAACGCCGCGUGAGGGAUGAAGGCCUUCGGGUUGUAAACCUCUUUUAGUUGGGAAGAAGCGAAAGUGACGGUACCAACAGAAAAAGCACCGGCUAACUACGUGCCAGCAGCCGCCGUAA